rnacentral:lncRNA from 1 species
GCCAUUCCGAAAAAGUCCGAAGUUUUCCGAGCAGCCGUCCUGCCGGACUGCUGGAGGCGGCCACAGCGCCAUGUUGGAUGCUCUGCUCGUUGAGUGAAGAAAAUCCACCGGCAUCGCCUGAGCCCCGCUACCGAGAAGGGCGCCGCUUCCUCCGGGGAGGGGGAUAAAGAUCCCCCGCCGCCGGCCCAUGAGGAUAUUGCCGUGAAAG